AACGAACGCUGGCGGCAUGCCUAACACAUGCAAGUCGAACGAAAACUUCGGGUCUAGGUGCGCACGGCGGGGUACCGCGGGGUGACCUACCCUUGGGUACCGUGUACCUCACCGAGGGGGGAGCUCAUACAGGUUAAUGUCUUCCGGCAUAGGACCUAUGGCUUUUGGAUGGGGGUGGGUUGGCUUAGGUGGUUGGUAGGGUACUAGCCUACCAAGGCGACGAUGCAGAGCUGGUGUGUGAGGAUGCUCAGCCACGCUGGGACUGCGACACGGACUAGACUCGUACGGGAGGCAGCAGUGGAGAAUACUAGAGGCUGGGCGAAAGCGUGAUACAGCAAUGCGGCGUGAGUGGUGAAGGCCGUAGGGUUGUAAAGCUCUUUUACCCGGGAUGAUAAUGACGGUACCGGGUGAAUAAGCACCGGCUAACUACGUG
rnacentral:rRNA from 1 species